rnacentral:lncRNA from 12 species
CUUGGUUUGGACCAGUUUGCCUGAGCAUCCUUAUUGCAACCAUCUCUGGAAAUGGAAGUUGUCUAACUCAGUUUCUUCUCAGAAGAAGAGAAGCUGUGAUUGAUGGAAAAUGGAAAGUAUUCAAAUGACUUUCAAAAAUCAUGAAG